AUACGUAGGUGGCAAGCGUUGUCCGGAAUUAUUGGGCGUAAAGCGCGCGCAGGCGGUCCUUUAAGUCUGAUGUGAAAGCCCACGGCUCAACCGUGGAGGGUCAUUGGAAACUGGGGGACUUGAGUGCAGAAGAGGAAAGUGGAAUUCCAAGUGUAGCGGUGAAAUGCGUAGAGAUUUGGAGGAACACCGGUGGCGAAGGCGACUUUCUGGUCUGUAACUGACUCUGAGGCGCGAAAGCGUGGGGAGCAAACAGGAUUAGAUACCCUGGUAGUCCACGCCGUAAACGAUGAGUGCUAAGUGUUAGGGGGUUUCCGCCCCUUAGUGCUGCAGCUUACGCAUUAAGCACUCCGCCUGGGGAGUACGGUCGCAAGACUGAAACUCAAAGGAAUUGACGGGG
rnacentral:rRNA from 1 species